UAGAUCAGCAUAUUGGAACAUAGGAUCCUUAAUGGGCAAGUGUCUAUAAUUGAUAGAUGUUAUGAGGAUAAGAAUGAUUGACAUAGCUUGUAUUCAAGAAACUAGAUGGAAGGGUAAAAAAGCCAAGGAGUUGGGUGACCUUAAACUUUGGCAUAUGGGAUAAAAGUAAUAGAAGUGGAGUGGGCAUAGCACUGGAUAAAUAUUUAAGGAAUGAUGUGGUGGAUAUUAAAAGAUUUGGUGAUAGGAUUAUAUUCGUCAAGCUUGUGUUAGAGAAUGAGGUUGUGAAUAUAAUUAGCGCUUACGCACCCCUAAGUAGGAUUGUAUGAAAGUAGUAAGUUACAAUAUUGGGAACACAUGGAUGGAUUAGCGCAAGGUUUUAGUCAAGGAGAAAAUAUUAUUAUAGGGGGUGAUUUGAAUGGACAUGUUGGGAGAGAUCGUAAUGGCUACGAAGGUGUACAAGGAAGAUAUGGUUUUUGAGAGAGGAAUGAGGAGGGGACUUCAAUUUUAGAUUUUUUUGUGGUUUAUGAUUUAUCCAUUGUAAACACAUACUUUGAAAAGAGAACAGAAUUUACUAAUCCUUUAAAAGUGGGCAUCAUAGUAGCCAAAUAAAUUUCUUUCUAACUAGAAGGUUAUACUGGGGGAGAGCGUAACCACACAACAUAAAUUAAUGGUCAUGGAUAUGUGUCUCAUUACGCCGAAUUGUAAGAAAGGUGAGCUUAUUUGCCCCAAGAUAAGGCGGUGGAGCUU